CUUACAAGGAUUGCCUUAGUAACGGCGAGUGAACCGGCAACAGCCCAGCCUUAGAAUCGAAUGGUCUUGCUGUUCGAAUUGUGGUCUGGAGAAGCGUCCUCAGCGGCGGACUGGGCCCAAGUCACCUGGAAAGGUGCGCCGUAGAGGGUGAGAGCCCCGUCGGGCCUAGACCCUGUCGCGCCACGAGGUGCUGUCUUGGAGUCGGGUUGUUUGGGAAUGCAGCCCUAAUUGGGUGGUGAAUUUCGUCCAAGGCUAAAUAUAGGCGAGAGCCCGAUAGCGAACAAGUACCGCGAGGGAAAGAUGAAAAGAACUUUGAAAAAAGAGUCAAAGAGUGCUUGAAAUUGCCGAGAGGGAAGCGCAUGGAGGCCGGCGGUAGGCCCAGGUUGGAUGUGGAACGGCGAUUAGCCGGUCUGCCGAUAGACUGUGGGCAUGGAUCAACGAGAAUUUGGGUGGCGGUUGAAGCUUGGGCAGUUGAUACGCCCAGGGGAUGCCGGCUCUUAGAUUGUGGGAUGCAGAACACGUUCGGCGUGCUUCGGCACCUGUGUUCUCCGGUCGUUGACUUGUGGGCUCUCCAAUCGACCCGUCUUGAAACACGGACCAAGGAGUCUUACAUGUUUGCGAGUCUGCGGGCCAAAAAACUCGUGGGGCGUAAGGAAGCUGAUUGGCGGGAUCCCUCGCGGGGGUGCACCGUCGACUGACCUUGAUCUUUUGAGAAGGGUUCAAGUGUGAGCAUACCUGUUGGGACCCGAAAGAUGGUGAACUAUGCCUGAGCGGGGUGAAGCCAGAGGAAACUCUGGUGGAGGCCCGUAGCGAUACUGACGUGCAAAUCGUUCGUCUGACUUGGGUAUAGGGGCGAAAGA
rnacentral:rRNA from 1 species